rnacentral:rRNA from 1 species
UUGAAAGGGAAACGAUUGAAGUCAGUCGUACCUGUGGGUAAUCAGCCUUUUGGGUGUGAUUUUGUGGAGUGUGAGGAGUUAAACGCCUUCAUGCCUGCAUAUUCGUGCACUUUGGGUGUAUUUGCCCGUGUGGUAAGUUAACAUCAAUUUCGGUGAUCAUAAAAUGGCUGGAGGAAUGUAGCUUCGAUCUUGUAUUGAAGUGUGAUAGCCUUCGGUAGAUGUGAUGAUCGGGAUUGAGGAUUGCAACGGAUACCCCUCGGGGCUACCUGUCUGAUCUCUGAUCGUUGCUCUGGUGCCGAAAGCUUGCUUACGGUUAUCAAAGUCGAUGGUCAAUAGGUUAGAACGGGUUAAAUUCGUUAAGGAUGUUGACGUA